rnacentral:rRNA from 1 species
UGGAAACGACUGCUAAGACUGGAUAGGAGACAAGAAGGCAUCUUCUUGUUUUUAAAAGACCUAGCAAUAGGUAUGCUUAGGGAGGGGCUUGCGUCACAUUAGUUAGUUGGUGGGGUAAAGGCCUACCAAGACUAUGAUGUGUAGCCGGGCUGAGAGGUUGAACGGCCACAUUGGGACUGAGACACGGCCCAAACUCCUACGGGAGGCAGCAGUAGGGAAUUUUCGGCAAUGGAGGAAACUCUGACCGAGCAACGCCGCGUGAACGAUGAAGUAUUUCGGUACGUAAAGUUCUUUUAUUAAGGAAGAAUAAAUGAUGGAAAAAUCAUUCUGACGGUACCUAAUGAAUAAGCCCCGGCUAACUAUGUGCCAGCAGCCGCGGUAAUACAUAGGGGGCAAGCGUUAUCCGGAAUUAUUGGGCGUAAAGGGUGCGUAGGCGGUUAAAUAAGUUUAUGGUCUAAGUGCAAUGCUCAACAUUGUGAUGCUAUAAAAACUGUUUAGCUAGAGUAAGAUAGAGGCAAGUGGAAUUCCAUGUGUAGUGGUAAAAUGCGUAAAUAUAUGGAGGAACACCAGUAGCGAAGGCGGCUUGCUGGGUCUUUACUGACGCUGAGGCACGAAAGCGUGGGGAGCAAACAGGAUUAGAUACCCUGGUAGUCCACGCCGUAAACGAUGAGUACUAAACGUUGGGUAAAACCAGUGUUGAAGUUAACACAUUAAGUACUCCGCCUGAGUAGUACGUACGCAAGUAUGAAACUUAAAGGAAUUGACGGGACUCCGCACAAGCGGUGGAUCAUGUUGUUUAAUUCGAAAGGUACCCGAAAAACCUCACCAGGUCUUGACAUGCUUCUGCAAAGCUGUAGAAACACAGUGGAGGUUAUCAGUUGCACAGGUGGUGCAUGGUUGUCGUCAGCUCGUGUCGUGAGAUGUUGGGUUAAGUCCCGCAACGAGCGCAACCCUUAUUGUUAGUUACCAGCACGUAAUGGUGGGGACUUUAGCAAGACUGCCAGUGAUAAAUUGGAGGAAGGUGGGGACGACGUCAAAUCAUCAUGCCCCUUAUGACCUGGGCUACAAACGUGAUACAAUGGCUGUUACAAAGGGUAGCUGAAGCGCAAGUUUUUGGCGAAUCUCAAAAAAACAGUCUCAGUUCGGAUUGAAGUCUGCAACUCGACUUCAUGAAGUUGGAAUCGCUAGUAAUCGCGAAUCAGCAUGUCGCGGUGAAUACGUUCUCGGGGUUUGUACACACCGCCCGUCAAAC